UCCAGGGGCGGGAAUCGAACCCACACCCUUCUGCUUACCGGGCAGGUGCCUUGUCCACAAAUACGUCCAGG